CGGGGCGUGGCGUAGGGGCUAGCGCGCCUGCUUUGGGAGCAGGAGAUCGGGAGUUCGAGUCUCCCCGCCCCGA
rnacentral:tRNA from 1 species